rnacentral:rRNA from 1 species
ACGGGGGGAGGAAAGUAGGGGAUCGUAAGACCUUGUGCUUUUAGAGCGGCCGAUGCCUGAUUAGCUUGUUGGUGGGGUGAUGGCCUACCAAGGCGACGAUCAGUAGCUGGUCUGAGAGGACGACCAGCCACACUGGGACUGAGACACGGCCCAGACUCCUACGGGAGGCAGCAGUGGGGAAUUUUGGACAAUGGGCGAAAGCCUGAUCCAGCCAUGCCGCGUGAGUGAAGAAGGCCUUCGGGUUGUAAAGCUCUUUCGGUCGGGAAGAAAUAGUUGCGGCUAAUAUCUGCAACAAAUGACGGUACCGACAUAAGAAGCACCGGCUAACUACGCGCCAGCAGCCGCGGUAAUACGUAGGGUGCGAGCGUUAAUCGGAAUUAUUGGGCGUAAAGGGUGCGCAGGUCGUUAUAUAAGUCAGAUGUGAAAUCCCUGGGCUUAACCUAGGAAUUGCGUUUGAAACUACAAGGCUAG